CACACCGCCCGUCGACACCAUGGGAGUUGAUUGCUCCGAGAAGUCGGCCGAUCCAACCCGGCAAGGGAGGUAGGUCCCCAAGGGAGUGGGUCGAUGACUGGGGUG
rnacentral:rRNA from 1 species